rnacentral:tRNA from 1 species
GAGGGUAUAGCUCAAGUGGUAGAGCACAUGCUUAGCAUGCACAAGGUCCUGGGUUCAAACCCCAGUACCACCU